UGCUUCCGUCUGGCUGUGUCUCCAGUUUCUGUUGCUGCGCCCUCGUGUCCUGUACCCAUCACCCACGCAGGAGCCCACAAAACCUUGCCGACUGUCUUCAGUCCAACUGUGGCUCUCUACUCCAUCUCCACUGCUGUCUCUGUGCAUUCAUCAUCUCACAGCCAUCCUUUCAUAUGAGCACGGUGGUGCAGGCCUGUAAUCUCAGCUCCUCAGGCAGGAGGAUCACUUGAUCCCCGGGAGUUUGAAGCUGGACUGCGCUGACUGCACCUGUGAAUACCACUGCUCAUCAGCCUAGGGGAAACAUUCUCGAGUGCGAGCUUGACGGCUUAGGUUGAUGUUUUUCAAAUUUUCCCAAUGAUGGGUAUUGUAAGGGACCAAAAUAAAAAAAAUGCCAAUGCCUA
rnacentral:antisense_RNA from 1 species